AGUUCGCAAAGUAGAUGUGAGGGUGGUCAGACAGGGUACUCAACGGGUGUAUUCUAGACCAGUCUCUGAAGUUGUUCUACUUGUAAAAGGGGAAUAGUGUCAUAACGCAUUAUAACAAGCGGGGAGUGUGCUGUUCUGAUGUUUAUUUGGUGAAAGGGAGACCCCUAGUGGUCAACCUUUAACGCAAUGUUUUUGUACUAGCAGUCUUGCCGUAGUUCGACGAUGCAUGGUGAAACAACAGUCGCGUAUUUUUCUCUUUUGUAUUGGUUGGCCAGAAAACACGUUUGCCUUUUUACAGUGCUUCCUAAGUAAAGUUUGGAAAGGAAACAA